rnacentral:rRNA from 1 species
CCCCUGCGGCUGGAUCACCUCCU